rnacentral:rRNA from 1 species
UACGUAGGGUGCAAGCGUUGUCCGGAAUUAUUGGGCGUAAAGAGCUCGUAGGUGGUUUGUCGCGUUGUUCGUGAAAACUCACAGCUUAACUGUGGGCGUGCGGGCGAUACGGGCAGACUUGAGUACUGCAGGGGAGACUGGAAUUCCUGGUGUAGCGGUGGAAUGCGCAGAUAUCAGGAGGAACACCGGUGGCGAAGGCGGAUCUCUGGGCCAUAACUGACGCUGAGGAGCGAAAGCAUGGGGAGCGAACAGG